ACGUAGGGUCCAAGCGUUAUUCGGAAUUACUGGGCGUAAAGCGUACGUAGGCGGUUUUGUAAGUUGGAUGUGAAAUCCUGUGGCUCAACCACAUGGACUGUGUCCAAAACUACAAGACUAGAGCAUAGUAGAGGCAAGUGGAAUUUGCAGUGUAGGAGUGACAUCCGUAGAUAUUGCAAGGAAUACCAAUGGCGAAGGCAGCUUGCUGGGCUAUUGCUGACGCUCAGGUACGAAAGCGUGGGGAGCGAACGGGAUUAGAUACCCCGGUAGUCCACGCCGUAAACGAUGAUCACUAACAGUAUGGAGAUUCGACCCUCUGUGUUGUACAGCUAACGCGUUAAGUGAUCCGCCUGGGGAGUACGGGCGCAAGCUUA
rnacentral:rRNA from 1 species